AGCGAACGCUGGCGGCAGGCCUAACACAUGCAAGUCGAACGAACCUUUCGGGGUUAGUGGCGGACGGGUGAGUAACACGUGGGAACGUGCCUUUAGGUUCGGAAUAACUCAGGGAAACUUGUGCUAAUACCGAAUGUGCCCUUCGGGGGAAAGAUUUAUCGCCUUUAGAGCGGCCCGCGUCUGAUUAGCUAGUUGGUUGAGGUAAUGGCUCACCAAGGCGACGAUCAGUAGCUGGUCUGAGAGGAUGAUCAGCCACAUUGGGACUGAGACACGGCCCAAACUCCUACGGGAGGCAGCAGUGGGGAAUCUUGCGCAAUGGGCGAAAGCCUGACGCAGCCAUGCCGCGUGAAUGAUGAAGGUCUUAGGAUUGUAAAAUUCUUUCACCGGGGACGAUAAUGACGGUACCCGGAGAUGAAGCCCCGGCUAACUUCGUG
rnacentral:rRNA from 1 species